rnacentral:rRNA from 1 species
UACGUAGGUGGCAAGCGUUGUCCGGAUUUACUGGGCGUAAAGAGCGCGCAGGCGGUCGUUCAAGUCGCGUGUGAAAGCCCCCGGCUCAACUGGGGAGGGUCACGCGAUACUGAUCGACUCGAAGGCAGGAGAGGGUAGUGGAAUUCCCGGUGUAGUGGUGAAAUGCGUAGAUAUCGGGAGGAACACCAGUGGCGAAGGCGGUUGCCUGGAGCUUUGCUGACGCUGAGGCGCGAAAGCGAUGGGGAGCGUGGACGCGAAUUCGAUGAA